UUUUUUUGAAGUCGUCCAUUUCAUCAAUGAAACUCAAGGAUGCAUGGAAGUACGCGAAGAACUACGAUAACUAGGUGAAUGAAAUAUCACAACACUAAAAGGCUAAUGAGGUUUACGUAAUGAAAACCACAUCUUGGCCUACAAAAGUGCAAGACCAAAAGGGAAAAAGCAUGGUGAGUUGUUCUGAGACUUAUCAAGAUCAAGAAGUAGGUUCCAUAAUAGAAAAGGACGAGGCAAAAAGAUCUAAAAGAAUGAAAAGUACCAAUGGGGAGGGACAAGUUAAAAGUAGUGAUACUUUAGAAAAAGAGGUGGAUUGUUUUUUGCUUUCGAGAAAAUAACUACUGAAGACCAUAAAAGAAAAGACGACACUUGCAAUGGACACAAGAUCUUGAUAAGAAAUUUGAAGAGGUUGUUUGCGAGUUAGGAGAAAAAGGUAAGGAUUAACCUAGAACAGAUAAGCAUAAACAAACCAAUCACUAUAUUUUUGUAAUUUGAAAGUUAAACUUGUUCGAGUUACAAAG
rnacentral:misc_RNA from 1 species